rnacentral:rRNA from 1 species
UACGAAGGGGGCUAGCGUUGCUCGGAAUCACUGGGCGUAAAGGGUGCGUAGGCGGGUCUUUAAGUCAGGGGUGAAAUCCUGGAGCUCAACUCCAGAACUGCCUUUGAUACUGAAGAUCUUGAGUUCGGGAGAGGUGAGUGGAACUGCGAGUGUAGAGGUGAAAUUCGUAGAUAUCGGGAGGAACACCAGUGGCGAAGGCGGCGACCUGGACGGACACUGACGCUGAGACGCGAAAGCGUGGGGAGCAAACAGG